rnacentral:rRNA from 1 species
AGUAACCUGCCUUGGAGUGGGGAAUAACACAGUGAAAACUGUGCUAAUACCGCAUAAUGCAUUUGGGUCGCAUGAUUCUGAAUGCCAAAGAUUUAUCGCUCUGAGAUGGACUCGCGUCUGAUUAGCUAGUUGGCGGGGUAACGGCCCACCAAGGCGACGAUCAGUAGCCGGACUGAGAGGUUGGCCGGCCACAUUGGGACUGAGACACGGCCCAG